rnacentral:tRNA from 1 species
UACAUUUUAGUAUAUUAUGUAUGAGAAUUUUUGAUAUUCUUGGAGAAAAAAUUUUUUUAGAUGUAA